rnacentral:rRNA from 1 species
UACAGAGGUCUCAAGCGUUGUUCGGAUUCAUUGGGCGUAAAGGGUGCGUAGGCGGCGCGGUAAGUCGGGUGUGAAAUUUCGAGGCUUAACUUCGAAACUGCAUUCGAUACUGCCGUGCUAGAGGACUGGAGAGGAGACUGGAAUUUACGGUGUAGCGGUGAAAUGCGUAGAUAUCGUAAGGAAGACCAGUGGCGAAGGCGGGUCUCUGGACAGUUCCUGACACUGAGACACGAAGGCCCAGGGGAGCAAACGGG